UAAACUUCUUUCCUUCCUUCCACCAGCUCUGCAUUUUCCCUAAGUUUCUGCAAUUUUGAAACCUCAUGUACUUUGUCAAAUUUGGCUGCAGUGCUGCUAUCAGUUCAAAGAUUGUGGAAAAGGAAGGAGGAGAGACAGACUUGAAGGUGGAAAGAAAAUUUCCUUGUGUGAACUUCCUUUCCGAAGGAAACCACUGAAGGCUUUACCUGAGAAAGGAUUUGGGAUGCUGAUCCUCAAUUUUUUCUGUCUCCCCGCCAUCAUCUGUGGGUGUUUACUGAAGUACCAGCUCUGUGCUCACCUCUGUUUCAAUGCACUGGGAACAACAAGCUUG